UACGUAGGGUGCAAGCGUUUGUCCGGAAUUAUUGGGCGUAAAGAGCUCGUAGGCGGUUUUGUCGCGUCUGCUGUGAAAAACCCGAGGCUCAACCUCGGGCCUGCAGUGGGUACGGGCAGACUAGAGUGCGGUAGGGGAGAUUGGAAUUCCUGGUGUAGCGGUGGAAUGCGCAGAUAUCAGGAGGAACACCAAUGGCGAAGGCAGAUCUCUGGGCCGUAACUGACGCUGAGGAGCGAAAGCAUGGGGGAGCGAACAGG
rnacentral:rRNA from 1 species